rnacentral:rRNA from 1 species
UAAGCGGAGGAAAAGAAACUACAAGGAUUCCCCUAGUACUGCGAGUGAAGCGGNAAAAGCUCAAAUUUAAAAUCUGGUGGUCUUUGGCCAUCCGAGUUGUAAUCUAGAGAAGCGUCUUCCGCGCUGGNCCGUGCACAAGUCUCCUGGAACGGAGCGUCGUAGAGGGUGAGAAUCCCGUCUUUGGCAUGGACACACCAGGGCUUUUGUGAUGCGCUCUCGAAGAGUCGAGUUGUUUGGGAAUGCAGCUCAAAAUGGGUGGUGAACUCCAUCUAAAGCUAAAUAUUGGCGAGAGACCGAUAGCGAACAAGUACCGUGAGGGAAAGAUGAAAAGCACUUUGGAAAGAGAGUGAAACAGUACGUGAAAUUGUUGAAAGGGAAACGCUUGAAGUCAGUCGCGUCGACCGAGACUCAGCCUCGCCUCGGCUUGGUGUACUUCUCGGCCCGACGGGUCAGCAUCAAUUUCGCCUCUUGGAUAAUGGCGAGGGAAACGUGACACCUUUACGGUGUGUUAUAGUCUCUCGUCGCAUGCAAGGGUCGGGAUUGAGGAACUCAGCACGCGCCUUUGGGCGUCGGGGCUUUGCCUACGAUACGUGCUUAGGAUGUUGGCGUAAUGGCUUUAAACGACC